rnacentral:rRNA from 1 species
AGACUCCUACGGGAGGCAGCAGUGAGGAAUAUUGGUCAAUGGACGAAAGCCUGACCCAGCCAUGCCGCGUGCAGGAAGACGGCCCUAUGGGUUGUAAACUGCUUUUGUCAGGGGAUAAACCUAUCUACGUGUAGAUAGCUGAAGGUACCUGAAGAAUAAGGAUCGGCUAACUCCGUGCCAGCAGCCGCGGUAAUACGGAGGAUCCGAGCGUUAUCCGGAUUUAUUGGGUUUAAAGGGUGCGCAGGCGGACUGGUAAGUCAGGGGUGAAAUUCUACGGCUCAACUGUAGACGUGCCUUUGAUACUGCCGGACUAGAGUUAAGAUGGAGUGGGCGGAAUGUGUUGUGUAGCGGUGAAAUGCUUAGAUAUCACACAGAACACCGAUCGCGAAGGCAGCUCACUAAACUUUGACUGACGCUCAUGCACGAAAGCGUGGGGAUCAAACAGGAUUAGAUACCCUGGUAGUCCACGCUGUAAACGAUGAUCACUCGCUGUUGGCGAUAUACAGUCAGUGGCUAAGCGAAAGUGAUAA